rnacentral:misc_RNA from 1 species
ACUCGGGGAGAACGCACCGCUUUUUCGCCGGGGAAUGAGGCUGAGCCGCCGGUAACGGCGGCGAAGACGGCGGCGCCGGAGCAAAGUUGAGCUUGGCCUUUUCUCCUCGGAUCCGUUUGGCUGCUUCAUCGUAGGCUCUGGCGGCUUCCUCGGCGGUGUUGAAAGUGCCGAGCCAAACACGAACUCCUUUACGUGGGUCCCGGAUCUCCGCCGCCCAUUUUCCCCACGGCCGUUGCCGGAUUCCUCUGUACAAAUUCUUCCGAGCUUUUGGAGUCUUCUCCACCGCCACCGCCGCCGUAGCUCGAUCUCUUUUCUUAGGCUUCUCGCUUUUCACAGGGGAAUAAUUGAGGCCGAGGAGGUCGGAGAAAGGGUCGAUGUGGGACCAGAGAGAUUCAUUGCUAAGUUUCCGAGUUCGCUUUCUUUCAAUGAAAUCAGAGAUGA